rnacentral:rRNA from 1 species
AGAGUUUGAUCCUGGCUCAGGAUGAACGCUGGCGGCGUGCUUAACACAUGCAAGUCGAACGGAGAAUAUCUUAACAGAGAUUUCGGUUGAAGUUUUGAUAUUCUUAGUGGCGGACGGGUGAGUAACGCGUGGGCAACCUGCCUCAUACAGGGGGAUAACAGUCAGAAAUGACUGCUAAUACCGCAUAAGCGCACAGGAGCGCAUGCUCCGGUGUGAAAAACUCCGGUGGUAUGAGAUGGACCCGCGUUGGAUUAGCUAGUUGGCAGGGCAAUGGCCUACCAAGGCGACGAUCCAUAGCCGGCCUGAGAGGGUGAACGGCCACAUUGGGACUGAGACACGGCCCAGACUCCUACGGGAGGCAGCAGUGGGGAAUAUUGCACAAUGGGGGGAACCCUGAUGCAGCGACGCCGCGUGAAGGAAGAAGUAUCUCGGUAUGUAAACUUCUAUCAGCAGGGAAGAUAAUGACGGUACCUGACUAAGCAGCCCCGGCUAACUCCGUGCCAGCAGCCGCGGUAAUACGGAGGGGGCGAGCGUUGUUCGGAGUGACUGGGCGUAAAGCGCGCGUAGGCGGUGUGGUAAGUCAUUAGUCAAAGGCGGCGGCUUAACUGUCGUAAGGCUAGUGAUACUAUUACGCUGGAGUGUCGGAGAGGAUUGCAGAAUUCCUGGUGUAGCGGUGAAAUGCGUAGAUAUCAGGAGGAAUACCUGUUGCGAAGGCGGCAAUCUGGUCGAUAACUGACGCUGAGGUGCGAGAGCGCGGGUAGCAAACAGGAUUAGAUACCCUGGUAGUCCACGCUGUAAACGAUGGAUACUAGGGGUUGGUGGGGAAUAGCCCUCGGUGCCG